rnacentral:rRNA from 1 species
UGGGGAAUUUUGGACAAUGGGGGGAACCCUGAUCCAGCCAUCCCGCGUGUGCGAUGAAGGCCUUCGGGUUGUAAAGCACUUUUGGCAGGAAAGAAAUAGGCCUGGCUAAUACCUGGGCUGAAUGACGGUACCUGCAGAAUAAGCACCGGCUAACUACGUGCCAGCAGCCGCGGUAAUACGUAGGGUGCAAGCGUUAAUCGGAAUUACUGGGCGUAAAGCGUGCGCAGGCGGUUCGGAAAGAAAGGUGUGAAAUCCCAGGGCUUAACCUUGGAACUGCACUUUUAACUACCGGGCUAGAGUGUGUCAGAGGGAGGUGGAAUUCCGCGUGUAGCAGUGAAAUGCGUAGAGAUGCGGAGGAACACCGAUGGCGAAGGCAGCCUCCUGGGAUAACACUGACGCUCAUGCACGAAAGCGUGGGGAGCAAACA